CAUCCCUAGAGCCUCGAGCUCUCUAAAGGGUUGUUCUAGACUAGAACGUUGAUAGGCAGGGUGUGUAAGCGCUGUGAGGCGUUGAGCUAACCUGUACUAAUGGCCCGUGAGGCUUAACCAUACAACACCCAAGRGGUU
rnacentral:rRNA from 1 species